rnacentral:rRNA from 1 species
AGCGCAGGCGGAAAAAUAAGUCUAAUGUGAAAGCCCUCGGCUUAACCGAGGAACUGCAUCGGAAACUGUUUUUCUUGAGCGCGGAAGAGGAGAGUGGAACUCCAUGUGUAGCGGUGGAAUGCGUAGAUAUAUGGAAGAACACCAGUGGCGAAGGCGGCUCUCUGGUCUGCAACUGACGCUGAGGCUCGAAAGCAUGGGUAGCAACA